rnacentral:tRNA from 1 species
GGCUGGGUUAGCUCAGUGGUUAGAGCUCAGGCCUUGUGAUCUGAAGGUCCUGGAAUCAAAUCUAAGCAGAGGCA